rnacentral:misc_RNA from 1 species
UGAAUAAAGCAUUAGUAAAUGAUAGGCAAUGAAAUUCAAUGGGAUGCUGAACACAGGAUUCACUUGAAUUGGAUGGACACUGGAAUGACGACCAAUGACAAGGAUUUAGUCUCUAUGCAUAAAUUGUUGAAAGGAUUUUCCUUGUUGAAAAUAUACGGUUGUGAAGGUGAAGAGACUAUAACAAAUGCAAAGAGAUCAGCAGAUAAUGUACCUGGAGAAGGAUUAAUAGAUUGGUUUGCUGGUUUUCAAUCUGCAUAAGCUGGUCACAAAUCAAAGACAGAUCCUCAAUAUCUUUAUUGUUCUCAAAGAAUUCUUCAUUGGGAUUGUUGACCUCAACAUCUUUGUUGUAACGGUUAUCAUCAUCAUUGAAUGGAACCACCCUCGACCUAGAUCUCAAACCACCUAAUUUGUGCUGUUUAUCUUCUCGGAUUCUACUGCACAGGACAAGUUUUGCUUCUGGCCUAAAUUUCUCAUUGUUUGGGUCCUCCCUUGAUUCCGAAACUCCAUAACUGCACCUUUUGAUAUCAUCUCCACAGCCGGCGUCAUGAGAUAGAACAAUUUCAGUUUUCCAGGCAGAGGUUUUCUUGUGGUCCAUUUUACAACUCAUUGCUGUCUUUGAAUUGUCAUUUUUACUCUUUACAGGGUUUUGUUUUCUGGUAGUGGUCACAGACGAAGAAUCAAAUUGGGGGGACCUGUUUGCGGGGACUGUUUUCUUUGGUUGAGGAGAUUUGAAACCGACUUCAUGAGAAUCAUCCGAGUCAGAAGGGAAACAUUCACCAAUAGCAUUAUCUGGUGCUACUGAAGAAGAUUUAGAUUGAGAUGAUACUGAAACUUGGUCAGAGACUCCAGGAACUUCCUUCCACAGCUCCAAGGUACGAUUCAUAGUCUCCCGAACCGCCUUCACCUUAUCAAAUCUCCUGCUCUCCAGAGAACUCAAGCACGCUACUCUAUGUUCCUUCGAUAGCUCCUUUUCCGCUAGGGUCACCUUCCCCAACGCCUCCGCCGCCGCCUUUCUGGCUGCCCAAUCCUCACUGCUCAGAAACUGCAGCAAACAUGGUACUAACCAAUCCAACACGCCCUUACUCGAAGCGCCGCCAACGCCAAUGAUAUUCCCGAUCACAGUCAACAGCGCUGCCUUCGCUCUAAAUCCCUCGCCCUUCACCAACUUCCCCAGCCUCGGCAACACCCUCCUCAAGUGCUCCGCUUCUGGCUCCGGCGCCGCCUCAAUAGCGGCGGCCAAACACAUGGAGGCACCGACCUGAGCAUUAAAAUCCUGCUCAAGCGUUAACAGCUCAAUAAACGGCUUUGACAGAGUAGAAAACGGCGGCUUGGUGAUCUGCGAGGACAUAGCAGAGGUGGCCUCGACGCAGGCGGAUCGGACUGCAGAGUCAGGGUCGCGGAGGCGGCGAGUGACGGUGGAGAUCAUUUUGGAGAGGUGGGGAGAGAGGGAGUUGCCGUGGGAGUUGGAGAGGAGGGUCAAGAGGUUGACGCAUUGCUUGCGAACGGGAGACUUAGAGGAGGAAUCGGUAUUGUGAAUGCAGUUGAGGAAAGGGAAGAAGGAGUCGUGGUUGAGGUUCUUGGCGAUGGACUCGAGCUCGGUGGUGGCGAGAGAGAGAGUGGCACGGUCGGAGAGCUUGUUGAGGCAGGUGAUGACUCGGUGCUUGAGAUCGUUGGCGGUUGAAGCAGGAGUAGGUGGAGAUCUUUUCUCGGGAGACAUUGUGUGAUGAGGCUGAAUUUGUGGGUUUGUUGUGUCUAUCUCAGUGGGGUGUGCAUUGAGUCACUGAGUAGCUGGUAGUGACGGUGGAGAUGUUUGUUAUUAGUAGCAUUUAGCAAAGACCGUACGGUGCUUCCAUGGAUAUUUAAUUUCUGAAGAACGGGGGCAAGGGAAGGGGGCUGUG